UACAGAGGGGGCGAGCGUUAUUCGGAAUUAUUGGGCGUAAAGGGCGCGUAGGCGGUCUUUCAAGUGACGGGUGAAAUCCCUCGGCUUAACCGAGGAACUGCCUGUCAGACUGGAAGGCUUGAGACCGGGAGAGGUGAGUGGAAUUCCCAGUGUAGCGGUGAAAUGCGUAGAUAUUGGGAGGAACACCAGUGGCGAAGGCGGCUCACUGGACCGGUACUGACGCUGAGGCGCGAAAGCGUGGGGAGCAAACAGG
rnacentral:rRNA from 1 species